UUGAACGCUGGCGGCAUGCUUUACACAUGCAAGUCGAACGGUAACAGGGAGCUUGCUCCGCUGACGAGUGGCGAACGGGUGAGUAAUGCAUCGGAACGUACCCAGUCGUGGGGGAUAACGUAGCGAAAGUUACGCUAAUACCGCAUACGACCUGAGGGUGAAAGCGGGGGAUCGCAAGACCUCGCGCGACAGGAGCGGCCGAUAUCGGAUUAGCUAGUUGGUGAGGUAAAGGCUCACCAAGGCGACGAUCCGUAGCUGGUCUGAGAGGACGACCAGCCACACUGGAACUGAGACACGGUCCAGACUCCUACGGGAGGCAGCAGUGGGGAAUUUUGGACAAUGGGGGCAACCCUGAUCCAGCCAUUCCGCGUGAGUGAAGAAGGCCUUCGGGUUGUAAAACUCUUUCGGCAGGAACGAAACGGUGAGCUCUAACAUAGCUUGCUAAUGACGGUACCUGAAGAAGAAGCACCGGCUAACUACGU
rnacentral:rRNA from 1 species